rnacentral:rRNA from 1 species
CCUACGGGAGGCAGCAGUGAGGAAUAUUGGUCAAUGGGCGAGAGCCUGAACCAGCCAAGUCGCGUGAAGGAUGACGGCCCUACGGGUUGUAAACUUCUUUUGUCAGGGAGCAAUUUAGUCCACGUGUGGGCUUCGAGAGAGUACCUGCAGAAAAAGUAUCGGCUAACUACGUGCCAGCAGCCGCGGUAACACGUAGGGGGCAAGCGUUAUCCGGAUUUAGUGGGUGGAAAGGGAGCGCAGCCGGCUGUGCAAGUCUGGAGUGAAAGGCGGGGGCCCAACCCCCGGACUGCUCUGGAAACUGUAAGGCUGGAGUGCAGGAGAGGUAAGCGGAAUGCCUAGUGUAGCGGUGAAAUGCGUAGAUAUUAGGAGGAACACCAGUGGCGAAGGCGGCUUACUGGACUGCAACUGACGUUGAGGCUCGAAAGCGUGGGGAGCAAACAGGAUUAGAUACCCGGGUAGUC